UAACUUUUGUCCUCCAAAUUAUGCAUUGCCUAAUGAUAAUGGUGGUUGGUGUAACCCUCCUCGUACUCAUUUCGAUCUCGCUAUGCCUAUGUUCCUCAAGAUCGCUGAGUACCGCGCCGGAAUCGUCCCCGUCACUUACCGCCGGGUGCCAUGUAGGAAACAAGGGGGAAUCAGAUUCACUAUCAACGGUUUCCGUUACUUCAACUUG
rnacentral:misc_RNA from 1 species